GGGAGAAGCCAGAGAGUGGAAGGAGAUGGGUAGCUCUCCCCGCCUGGCUGCAAGGAAAAAAAAAAAAGAAGAAGCCUGUAAGGCUGGAACCCACAGAGAUAUGUGAAAGAAAGAAGACAGCGGCCACUGGACUCAAUGGAGACUGACCCCUUCCCAGUUAAGGGGAUAUUCACCUUUUGUACCUCAGACCCAGGUCAUGUAAAUGGGCCCAACAAAUAAAGAUCUGCUUUUCAGAAGUA